rnacentral:rRNA from 1 species
AUUGAACGCUGGCGGCAUGCCUUACACAUGCAAGUCGAACGGUAACAGGUCUUCGGAUGCUGACGAGUGGCGAACGGGUGAGUAAUACAUCGGAACGUGCCUAGUAGUGGGGGAUAACUACUCGAAAGAGUGGCUAAUACCGCAUGAGAUCUACGGAUGAAAGCAGGGGAUCGCAAGACCUUGUGCUACUAGAGCGGCCGAUGGCAGAUUAGGUAGCUGGUGGGAUAAAAGCUUACCAAGCCGACGAUCUGUAGCUGGUCUGAGAGGACGAUCAGCCAAACGGGGACUGAGACACGGCCCAGACUCCUACGGGAGGCAGCAGUGGGGAAUUUUGGACAAUGGGCGCAAGCCUGAUCCAGCAAUGCCGCGUGCAGGAUGAAGGCCUUCGGGUUGUGAACUGCUUUUGUACGGAACGAAAAGCCCUGGGUUAAUACCCUGGGGUCAUGACGGUACCGUAAGAAUAAGCACCGGCUAACUACGUGCCAGCCGCCGCCGUAA